GCGGUCGUGGCGGAAUAGGUAGACGCAUAGCGUUGAGGUCGCUAUGGAGGAAACUCCGUGGAAGUUCGAGUCUUCUUGACCGCACCA
rnacentral:tRNA from 1 species